UACGAAGGGGGCUAGCGUUGCUCGGAAUCACUGGGCGUAAAGCGCACGUAGGCGGCUUUCUAAGUCAGGGGUGAAAUCCUGGAGCUCAACUCCAGAACUGCCUUUGAUACUGGAGAGCUUGAGGCCGGAAGAGGUAAGUGGAACUGCGAGUGUAGAGGUGAAAUUCGUAGAUAUUCGCAAAGAACACCAGUGGCGAAGGCGGCGACCUGGUCCGAUACUGACGCUGAGGCGCG
rnacentral:rRNA from 1 species